rnacentral:tRNA from 1 species
GCCGUAGACUCCCCACCGGGCCCAUCGGUUCCAAGUCGGAGCAGACGGCUCAUCACCGUCCGGUCCCAGGUUCGAAUCGUGGCGGGGGCGCCA